rnacentral:lncRNA from 1 species
CCAGAGGUGUGGACAUGUUUGGAAAAGGGGGUCUGGUCCAAGUGCUGGAAAAGAGAUUCUGGCUGGAAGAAAGAAUUAUGUUCUAAAAAGAAUGGCAAAGAACUUUGUUCUCAGAGAUGUCAUACCUAGCCUCGGCAGCCUGAAGACAGCUGUUUUCUGUUAGUCUACAGAAGCAUAUGGCUUUCCACGCUCUGUUUAUUCUUCCCUGGGUUAAAUUGCUAUGGCAUCGUCUCACUUCUCCUAAUGGGCCGUGUCCAGCAUCUGCACGGUUACAAAUGGGCAUGCUCAUUUGUGGAUUUAUGGAGCUUGAAUAACGUCAGGACUGUGUCAGACCUGCUGCCCCACGCAGGACGGAGAGAAGCAGGGCCAUUGCUGGCGCACAAAUUCGAUGAAUUCACAGAGCAAGGGAAAUUAGUGAAGCCGGUCCAGCGUCUCCUCUGCAUUCCUGUGUGGUAAGUGUGCAUCGUAUACCCUGGGAAAGAGCCCUAGAACACCUUCCUACUUUUUAAAACGUGGAAAGGCUACUAAUGCAAACACUGAAGUUUUCAGGCAGGGGAAAGUAGCAAAGUCUCUUCAGACAAGUGCUUGUGGGCCACCUUUAAACGCCUGCAAAUGCUGAAACACCACCUCUUAACGUACACGCAGCUUUCCCCCGCCUGUCCACCAUGAGGCAGCCUUCAAACAAGAGGAAAUAAAGACACCAAGUUCCUCUGAGCCAUUUUAUGGCACCCAUCAGAAGACCAACAGGGAAGAAGAAAAUGCCACUCAAACCUGGCCUUUGUGGCGCUUUGAAUGAGCGUGUUCAACAAGGCACACAGAUUGAAAUCUCCACCACCACUGCCUUCAUACUGAAAGUCUGAGAAGCCGAGACUAACCUCAUUUCAAGGGUAAGUAGCUAGCAAAAAAAGAAAAAGGAAAUGAGAUUGACCUUUUUAAGUUUUCUUCAGGACAAAAAUAUGUGUUUGUAUUCCCUCUUUUUCCUUUUUCAUUGUAUGUGAUUUCACAUCACAAGAAUUUCUGUUACAAGUCAGCCCUAGUUCUGCCUUUGAAAGAGGCACCAAAAUACAGUGUGUGGGAAGGAGGUGAGUCUCAUCCGUGAG